rnacentral:rRNA from 1 species
GAUGAACGCUGGCGGCGUGCCUAAUACAUGCAAGUCGAGCGAACGGACGAGAAGCUUGCUUUUCUGAUGUUAGCGGCGGACGGGUGAGUAACACGUGGAUAACCUACCUAUAAGACUGGGAUAACUUCGGGAAACCGGAGCUAAUACCGGAUAAUAUUUUGAACCGCAUGGUUCAAAAGUGAAAGACGGUCUUGCUGUCACUUAUAGAUGGAUCCGCGCUGCAUUAGCUAGUUGGUAAGGUAACGGCUUACCAAGGCAACGAUGCAUAGCCGACCUGAGAGGGUGAUCGGCCACACUGGAACUGAGACACGGUCCAGACUCCUACGGGAGGCAGCAGUAGGGAAUCUUACGCAAUGGGCGAAAGACUGACGGAGCAACGCAGCGUGAGUGAUGAAGGUCUUCGGAUCGUAAAACUCUGUUAUUAGGGAAGAACAUAUGUGUAAGUAACUGUGCACAGCUUGACGGUACCUAAUCAGAAAGCCACGGCUAACUACGUG